rnacentral:rRNA from 1 species
GCCGAAUUCAUUACUAUGUCAAAACGACUCUCGGCAACGGAUAUCUCGGCUCUCGCAUCGAUGAAGAACGUAGCGAAAUGCGAUACUUGGUGUGAAUUGCAGAAUCCCGUGAACCAUCGAGUCUUUGAACGCAAGUUGCGCCCGAAACC